rnacentral:tRNA from 1 species
GUGGGUAUAGCUCAAUGGUAGAGCAUAUGCUUAGCAUGCACAAGGACCUGGGUUCAAUCCCCAGUACCUCCA